CUCUGCAAACACGAAAGUGGACGUAUAGGGUGUGAUGCCUGCCCGGUGCUGGAAGGUUAAUUGAUGGGGUCAGCCGCAAGGCGAAGCUCUUGAUCGAAGCCCCAGUAAACGGCGGCCGUAACUAUAACGGUCCUAAGGUAGCGAAAUUCCUUGUCGGGUAAGUUCCGACCUGCACGAAUGGUGUAACGAUCUGGGCACUGUCUCAGCCACGAGCUCGGUGAAAUUGUAGUAUCGGUGAAGAUGCCGAUUACCCGCGAUGGGACGAAAAGACCCCGUGAACCUUUACUAUAGCUUAGCAUUGAAUUUGGGCACGCGAUGUGUAGGAUAGGUCGGAGGCUUUGAAGCAGGUACGCCAGUAUUUGUGGAGCCGCUGUUGAAAUACGACCCUUUAUUUGUUUGGAUUCUAACCCGUGGAACGGGGACAUUG
rnacentral:rRNA from 1 species